UACGUAGGGUGCAAGCGUUAUCCGGAAUUAUUGGGCGUAAAGAGCUCGUAGGCGGUUUGUCGCGUCUGCUGUGAAAACUGGGGGCUCAACCCCCAGCCUGCAGUGGGUACGGGCAGAUUAGAGUGCGGUAGGGGAGAUUGGAAUUCCUGGUGUAGCGGUGGAAUGCGCAGAUAUCAGGAGGAACACCGAUGGCGAAGGCAGAUCUCUGGGCCGUAACUGACGCUGAGGAGCGAAAGCAUGGGGAGCGAACAGG
rnacentral:rRNA from 1 species